AGCGACUAAGCGUAAAUGUUGGUGAAGUACUGCCCUGGCAGUCAGACUGCGAUGAAGGACGUGCUAAUCUGCGUGGUGGAUGCCUUGGCAGUCAGAGUCAGAAAGUAAGGUGAUAUGAACCGUUAUAGCUCCGGCGAGGCGGCAAAUAUCCUUUGAUCCGGAGAUGUCUGAAUUCGUUGCACUACUUUAAGGUUAACUGAAUACAUAGGUUAACGAGGCGAACGAGGGGAACUGAAACAUCUAAGUACCCCCCGAGAAAAAUCAAUUGAGAUUCCCUCAGUAGCGGCGAGCGAACGGGGAGCAGCCCAGAUCUGAAUCAUGCUUGUGUGUUAGUGGAACGCUCUGGAAAGUCCGACGUAGAGGGUGAUAGUCCCGUACACGAAAGGGCACACAGGCUGUGAACUCGAAGAGUAGGGCGGGACACGUGGUAUCCUGUCUGAAUAUGGGGGGACCAUCCUCCAAGGCUAAAUACUACUGACUGACCGAUAGUGAACCAGUACCGUGAGGGAAAGGCGAAAAGAACCCCUGUGAGGGGAGUGAAAUAGAUCCUGAAACCGCAUGCAUACAAGCAGUGGGAGCACCUUCGUGGUGUGACUGCGUACCUUUUGUAUAAUGGGUCAGCGACUUAUAUUCAGUAGCAAGGUUAACCGUAUAGGGGAGCCGCAGGGAAAUCGAGUCUUAAUAGGGCGUUUAGUUGCUGGGUAUAGACCCGAAACCCCGGCGAUCUCCAUGAGCAGGUUGAAGGUUUGGGUAACACUAACUGGAGGACCGAACCCACUGUCGUUGAAAAGCCAGCGGAUGACUUGUGGAUAGGGGUGAAAGGCUAAUCAAGCCUGGUGAUAGCUGGUUCUCCCCGAAAGCUAUUUAGGGUAGCGCCUCGUGAAUCAUCUUCAUAGGGGGUAGAGCACUGUUUCGGCUAGGGGUCAUCCCGACUUACCAACCGAUGCAAACUACGAAUACCGAAGAAUGUUAUCACGGGAGACAGACUGCGGGUGCUAACGUCCGUAGUCAAGAGGAAAACAAUCCAGACCGCCAGCUAAGGCCCCAAAAUCAUAGUUAAGUGGGAAACGAUGUGGGAAGGCACAGACAGCCAGGAGGUUGGCUUAGAAGCAGCAGCCAUCUUUAAAGAAAGCGUAAUAGCUCACUAGUCGAGUCGGCCUGCGCGGAAGAUGUAACGGGGCUAAAACCAUGCACCGAAGCUGCGGAGCGACACUAUGUGUUGUGGUAGGGGAGCGUUCUGUAAGCCGAUGAAGGUGUAUUGAGAGCAUGCUGGAGGUAUCGGAAGUGCGAAUGCAGACAUGAGUAGCGAUAAAGAGGGUGAGAUGCCCUCUCGCCGAAAGACCAAGGGUUCCUGCGCAAGGCUAAUCCGCGCAGGGUGAGCCGGCCCCUAAGACGAGCCCGAAGGGGGUAGUCGAUGGGAAAAUGGUUAAUAUCCAUUACUUGUGUUAUGCGAAGGGGGGACGGAGAAGGCUAAAUCAGCCUGGCGUUGGUUGUCCAGGUGAAAGGAUGUGUAGCAUGUAUUAUCCAGGCAAAUCGGGGUAUCUCUAUGCUGAUCUGAUGUGAUGACGAGCACUACUUGUACAGCGAAAGUUGAACAAAUGCAUGCUUCCAGGAAAAGUCUCUAAGCUUCAGUUACACAGGAAUCGUACCCGAAACCGACACAGGUGGUCAGGUAGAGUAUACCAAGGCGCUUGAGAGAAGUGUCCUGAAGGAACUCGGCAAAAUGGUACCGUAACUUCGGGAGAAGGCACGCUGGUGUGUAUGUGACUCGCCUGCCUGAGCUGAGCUGAGACCAGUCGAAGAUACCAGCGCUGCAACUGUUUAUUAAAAACACAGCACUCUGCAAACACGAAAGUGGACGUAUAUGUGUGUGUGACGCCUGCCCGGUGCUGGAAGGUUAAUUGAUGGGGUUAGCGUAAGCGAAGCUCUUGAUCGAAGCCCCAGUAAACGGCGGCCGUAACUAUAACGGUCCUAAGGUAGCGAAAUUCCUUGUCGGGUAAGUUCCGACCUGCACGAAUGGCGUAAUGAUGGCAGGCUGUCUCCACCAGCAGAGACUCAGUGAAAUCGAAACUCGCUGUGAAGAUGCAGUGUACCCGCGGCUAGACGGAAAGACCCCGUGAACCUUUACUGCAGCUUGACACUGAACAUUGAGCCUUACUUGUGUAGGAUAGGUGGGAGACUUUGAAGCUGGAACGCAGUCUCCAGUGGAGCCGUCCUUGAAAUACCACCCCUGGUAAUGUUUGAUGUUCUAACUCUGUCCCCUGAUCCGGACGUUGCGGACAGUGUCUGGUGGGUAGUUUGACUGGGGCGGUCUCUCUAAAGCGUAACGGAGGAGCACGAAGGUUAGCUAAUCCUGGUCGGACAUCAGGAGGUUAGUGCAAUGGCAUAAGCUAGCUUGACUGCGAGCACAAGUCGAGCAGGGUGCGAAAGCAGUCUCAUAGUGAUCCGGUGGUUCUGAAUGGAAGGCCAUCGCUCAACGGAUAAAAGGUACUCGGGGAUAACAGGCUGAUACCGCCCAAGAGUUCAUAUCGACGGCGGUGUUUGGCACCUCGAUGUCGGCUCAUCACAUCCUGGGGCUGAAGUAGGUCCCAAGGGUAUGGCUGUUCGCCAUUUAAAGUGGUACGCGAGCUGGGUUUAGAACGUCGUGAGACAGUUCGGUCCCUAUCUGCCGUGGGCGCUGGAGAAUUGAGGGGGGCUGCUCCUAGUAGAGAGAGGACCGGAGUGGACGCAUCACUGGUGUUCGGGUUGUCAUGCCAAUGGCACUGCCCGGUAGCUAAAUGCGGAAGAGAUAAGUGCUGAAAGCAUCUAAGCACGAAACUUGCCCCGAGAUGAGUUCUCCCUGAGACUUUAAGUCUCCUGAAGGAACGUUAAAGACGAUGACGUUGAUAGGCCGGGUGUGUAAGCGCAGCGAUGCGUUGAGCUAACCGGUACUAAUGAACCGUGAGGCUUAACCUUACAACGCCGAAG
rnacentral:rRNA from 1 species